UGCAAAUGAUGUGAACAAAUAUUUGCUAUCUGAGUCGUGCUGACUAUUCCCACCAAGAUCACUGAUGCA